GACGAACGCUGGCGGCGUGCUUAACACAUGCAAGUCGAACGGAAAGGCCCAGCUUGCUGGGUACUCGAGUGGCGAACGGGUGAGUAACACGUGGGUGAUCUGCCCUGCACUCUGGGAUAAGCCUGGGAAACUGGGUCUAAUACCGGAUAUGACCGAGUGUCGCAUGGUGGUUGGUGGAAAGCUUUUGCGGCGUGGGGUGGGCGCGCGGCCUAUCAGUUUGUUGGUGGGGUAAUGGCCUAGCAAGGCGACGACGGGUAGCCGACCUGAGAGGGUGAUCGGCCACAAUGGGACUGCGACACGGCCCAGCCUCCUACGGGAGGCAGCAGUGGGGAAUAUUGCACAAUGGGCGCCAGCCUGAUGCAGCGACGCCGCGUGAGGGAUGACGGCCUUCGGGUUGUAAACCUCUUUCACCAGGGACGAAGCGUGAGUGACGGUACCUGGAGAAGAAGCACCGGCCAACUACGUG
rnacentral:rRNA from 1 species